rnacentral:rRNA from 1 species
UACGAAGGGUGCAAACGUUGCUCGGAAUUAUUGGGCGUAAAGGGCUCGUAGGCGGCCAACUAAGUCAGACGUGAAAUCCCUCAGCUUAACUGGGGAACUGCGUCUGAUACUGGAUGGCUUGGAUCCGGGAGAGGGAUGCGGAAUUCCAGGUGUAGCGGUGAAAUGCGUAGAUAUCUGGAGGAACACCGGUGGCGAAGGCGGCAUCCUGGACCGGUAUUGACGCUGAGGAGCGAAAGCCAGGGGAGCAAACGGG